AAUGAACGUUGGCGGCGUGGAUUAGGCAUGCAAGUCGAGCGGAAAGGCCCGCAAGGGUACUCAAGCGGCGAAAGGGAGAGUAACACGUAGGUUACCUACCCUCCGACCCGGGAUAGCUGAGGGAAACUUCAGGUAAUACCGGAUAACGUCUCCGGACCAAAGGUGUGAAUCCGUCGGGGGAGGGGCCUGCGUCCUAUUAGCUUGGUGGGGAAGUCACGGCUCACCAAGGCAAAGAGUGGUACGGGGUGUGAGAGCAUGGCCCCGCUCACUGGGACGGAGACACUGCCCAGACACCCACGGGUGGCUGCAGUCGAGGAUCUUCGGCAAUGGGCGCAAGCCUGACCGAGCGACGCCGCGUGCGGGAUGAAGGCCUUCGGGUUGUAAACCGCUGUCAGGGGGGAGGAAAUGCUACGGGGUUCUCCCCGUAGUUUGACCUAGCCUCAGAGGAAGUACGGGCUAAGUUCGUGCCAGCAGCCGCGGUAAUAC
rnacentral:rRNA from 1 species